GAAGUUCGUCGGACAAUCGCAGGGGAGAAAGACCUCGGAGGAAAGUCCGGACUCCACAGAGCACCGUAGGAGGUAACACCUCUCCGCCGAAAGGCGAGGACUAGAGCAACAGAGACGAGCCGAUUCAGUUCGGUUGAAACGGGCAAUCUCUACGGGGAGCAACAUCAAAUAGGCAGCUAAUGAACCUGCUCGGCGAGGCUGCGGGUAGAUGGCUCGAACUCGGGAGUGAUCCCGAGUCUAGAUGAAUGAUUGUCAUGCUGCCUUUGGCGGCACACAGAAUCCGGCUUACAGACGGACUUCGCUC
rfam:Parasutterella excrementihominis CAG:233 genomic scaffold, scf184